rnacentral:lncRNA from 1 species
GUCUGGCAAACUGAAACAUCCAAUACACUUGCGACAGACUGUUAUACCAUAGUUGUUGGAGAUCUUGCAGCCACAUAAAGUGAAGGUAGAUUUUUCUUUCAAAUAUGAAUAUAGUACUAUUGUAUUCAGGAUGCCCUAUAGCCAAGGACAGACUUGUCAAUUUUGAAUUUCAAAAUAGAAGAACAUCUAGAAUAUAGAACAGAUCCUGGGUUGAGAUAAUGAGUUUAGUCUGUUCUCUGCAUUUUGUGGUCUUUUUCCUGAAGAUGAAUGGCCCUGGGUAGGAGACAGUACAGUCUGGUCAGCCCUUCCCGUGCAUGGGUGCCUGCUGCUGGUUAUGAUGGGUUUCUCUCAUGGGAGGUUUGAAGGUCACUUCCCUCUUGGUAGUCUCUGGGACGCAUCCUCUUCCUGAAAAGAAGACACAAGACCACUUCUUCCAUCUGGGUGUCCUCCUUUUCUGAAAGCCACAAUCCCGCCGUUUUGUAAACUUAGAGCACAGAUAAAUUCAGACGUUAUUCCUGCUCCAAUCCCCCCUCCAAUCCAGAGAAAGAAAAUAAUGUAAUAAUGGUUUUGUGGGGGGUUUUGCCAAAAUAGAUUUUCCUAUAAAACAGUGAGUUCUGGGAUUGCCUGGCUGGCUCAAUCAGUAGAACAUGUGACUCUUGAUCUCAGGGUCGUGAGUUCAAGCCCCCCAUUGGGUGUAGAGUUUACUUUUUAAAAAGGUAAUAAAAAUUAUAUAUAAAAUCUUUUAAAAAGCAGCGAGUUGUUUGGCAGUUCCUAUCAGUGUGAAAGAACGAUCCGUCUUUACUUGAUGUGUCAUUUGAUAAAGGUGUUAUAGUGGUUGAUGUUAAGAGUGGAUCUUAGUAAAUAAGGCUCCUCCUUAUUGGAGGAGUAGAGAGACACCACGUCUAAAAAAUAAAUCUACAUUGAUUCCAUGUCCACAACCUUCCUCGUCCAUGUUUUUUACAAGGUCAGAGUUCCUCCGAUCACAAACAAGAGGUCCCAAGGAGGUCUUCCUUGAAUCUGGAAAUCUCAAAGGUGAUAGGUCCCGGGUGGUAGAAGGUAAAAUGGAAGCUGCUCAAGGGAAACAGGAAAUACAUCCAUCAGAGACGGGCCCUAACGUGGAGCAGAUCCAGGGGACUCCUGUCGUUCAUGACCUCUUCUCUGAUUCUCCCUCGUGGAGAGAGCUUGGCCACAGUGACUACAGGCCCAGGAGUUUGGAGCCGGUGAAGCCGGAAUAUCAAUCAUCAGGAUUCUAAUGAAGAAUCCUUGGCUGAAAAAGCCACCG